CUGGAGGUACCUGGUCGAGUGUUGGGGUUUUCAGUGGUCGUUAUAAGGACGGGUUUUGCGUCCAGCCGAUCUGAUCUGCAUCCUUACUUUUUGCUACACCUUGUUCUCGAACGAUCACGUGAUUUACCACAAGAUGUCAAGUAGCCUUUUGUAUGCUAGCAGAAGUUAGUUGUUACCUAAUGUAAGAGUAGAGACACGCUCUUCUUGAUAUGUUACAUCUUUAAAUAUCUCACUACAUAUCUAAUUAUGUCAAAUUACAGCAGCCAAUUACGGCUACUUUUCAUUUUUCAUAUGUCCAUUCUUGCUGUGCUAAGCUCGACGGAUAGUAACUUAGAUCUAAAAUGUCCGGAGUGCUGGCAACUCCACUGCUGGCCCCGGCGAACAUCCCAACUCCGCUGUAAGGGUGGUCUCACACUUGGUGUCUGCAACUGCUGCCCCGUGUGUGCUAAACAAGAGGGGCAGACGUGCGGCGGAGAGAAUAAUUAUUUAGGGAAGUGUGAUCUGGGCUUGCAAUGCGAGCCUCAAACUCCCGAGAUUUACCAUUAUCGAAAAAAUGACAUUCAUCAGAUAUAUACCAUAACCAAGGGGACAUGUAAGAAAGUACCACCAGAUCAACUACCAGCCCAGGAAGCUCAUUCCUUGUUCUGUGAACCUAAAUGUUCGUCCAGCUUUUGUCUUCAAAAUCCUAGAGCUAUUUGUUCUGCUAGAUAUAACGCUGAGAAGAAACAAGAAUGUCAAGGAGCGUGCCAGCAUACUUCUUGUCGAGCAUGUGAAUUUGUGGAAGGUUCUACUUGCACCAAAUGCUCUCCGGACGAUUUCCGCUGUUUGCGAAGAUUCGGAAAGUGCAUCCGCCGUGACUCGUGUUCCAAAAAGAAAUUCCCCUGCAGAGCCAAGUACUUUCAAGUAAAUCAGUUAUGUUACUUUAGAAAACUCUUUUUACACAUGUUUUAGUGACUGUUACAGCGUGUGUGCCAUGUCUUCCCCCUCCACCAAUGACUAAGCGGCAGAUGGCGCUGGGAAGUUCUUGUGCAAGGUACCAGAAUGUGUAAACUCCUAAGUAUGUAUUCGAAAGUUUUCAAGGACUAGAACGACGCGUUUGACAUAUAAAAUAACAAUAAAUAUUUCACUUGUGGCUUUAAUUAAAUCAAGAAUGAAUUUGUAUUGUACUCAGUGUAAUACGUAAAGGUUUGGUAUUUUCAGUUGUGUUAAAAAUUUAACUGGUUGUUGUUUAGUUAAUGUAAAAAAGCUGAAAGUCAAUAAUAAAUCAACUUUACGAAUUGUAAUUUCACUAUGUUAAAAGCAAGUACGAUAAAAUGUUGUUAACCUGUGUGAUUUAGCGAGCUUUU